GACGAACGCUGGCGGCGUGCUUAACACAUGCAAGUCGAACGGAAAGGCCUCUUUCGGGGGGUACUCGAGUGGCGAACGGGUGAGUAACACGUGAGUAACCUGCCCUUUACUUUGGGAUAACUUCAGGAAACUGGGGCUAAUACCGGAUAGGAGCUCCUGCUGCAUGGUGGGGGUUGGAAAGUUUCGGAGGUUGGGGUGUGACUGGCGGCUUAUCAGCUGGUUGGGGGGGGAGCGGCUUACCAAGGCUGUGACGGGAAGCGGGCCCGGGAGGGGGAUCGGCCCAAAUGGGGCCUAGAGGAGGCCCAGACUGCCAAGGGGGGGCACAGGGGGGAAUAUUGGCACAUGGGUGGGAGGCCGAUGGCAGAGCGGCGUGGGGGGGAAGACCGGCCUCGGGUUGUAAAACGCUUUCGGUCAUGGCCAAGCCGUGUUUGACGGUAACGGGUAAAAAAGCCACGGCUAACUACGUG
rnacentral:rRNA from 1 species